GACGAACGCUGGCGGCGUGCUUAACACAUGCAAGUCGAACGGAAAGGCCCCUUUGGGGGUACUCGAGUGGCGCACGGGUGAGUAACACGUGAGUAACCUGCCCUUGACUUCGGGAUAACUUCAGGAAACUGGGGCUAAUACCGGAUAGGAAUCCUUGCUGCAUGGUGGGGGUUGGAAAGCUUCGGCGGUUUUGGAUGGACUCGCGGCUUAUCAGCUUGUUGGUGGGGCAGUGGCUUACCAAGGCUUUGACGGGUAGCCGGCCUGAGAGGGCGACCGGCCACAUUGGGACUGAGAUACGGCCCAGACUCCUACGGGAGGCAGCAGUGGGGAAUAUUGCACAAUGGGCGGAAGCCUGAUGCAGCAACGCCGCGUGCGGGAUGACGGCCUUCGGGUUGGAAACCGCUUUCAGCAGGGGCGAAGCUUGUGGUGACGGUACCUGCAGAAGAAGCACCGGCUAACUACGUG
rnacentral:rRNA from 1 species